CGCCAAGCGCGGCCGCCGCUGCCGUAACACGCGGCCAAGUUUCCUGUCAGAUGUUACGACACUUCCUCCCUUGGCGGUGAGGCUUAGCGACGGCGGGGCGACCGCGCGGAGCCAUGGCUCACACAAAGCUCUUACUCUGGGUUCUGCAAAGCAUAUUCUCGAACAUGCUCAUGGUCUGUGAUGAUCUGGGUGAAGCCACACAUGACCACAUGCAGCAGUGUUUGGAGAUGCUUAUGGAGGAGAUGGCUCUGAUGCUGCAAGAGCUGGAGCAGAAGAUCCAGGAGCAGAGGAGCAAGGAGCAGGAUCGUGUGACCUGGAGAGCCCUGCUCUUUGCUGUCUUGUGGACCUGGCAGUUCUGGUUGAUUGCUGGCAUCCUGCUCCUCCUGAUUGGCUCUGCUGGUGGCUUAGGAAAAGGGGCCAUGAGGUGGGCAGCAGCAGCAAAGAGGAGGAAGACGGUGAAGAAAAAGAUGCUGCUGAGGCAACAGAUUUGGACAUGUAUGUUACAAUGCACAGCAAACGGUCAGUGGACAAACUGUGAAACCAGAGUGAGUUAGUGGAGGCACUGGUGGAAAACCUUCUUGUUGCUUGCCAGUGGUCUAGUUUCUUGACAAAGGGUUUCUUCCUGGAGCUGGCACCAACCAUCAGGGGGGCAGCACCUCUGAUUGCUGGAGUCCCCAGGAAGAUGACCCUAUCUGCUGGCAGCUCAUGUGCCUGGAGCCCCUCUGUGGGCUGAAGCCAGUCACUUCUUCUUUGGGAAUGAGAAGAUUCCUGGGGAGAUUGUCUUGCCCCCAGCCUUGCAAAGAGCCAAGACAUUCAACCUCUUCCAGUAUCUGGUACAGGAUCUGGCUGCCCAUGAGCAGACAGUGCAUGAGUUUGCGGAACUAUAACAUCAGCUUACAACACAGCUCUUCUAGGAGCAUUGAAGGUGGUCUUCAUACACACAGCUGUGUUUGCAGUGUUCAUAGCUGAGGACGGAUGAGGACCACCUCAUGCAGGAGGGAGAUGAAGGACAGAGUGCAGGACACUGCAAGGAAAGGAAGAACCUUGUACAGUGGACCUCUGCCAAGAGCAGCAGCAUUCUCUUCUCAGUGGUUUUGAGAUAGCAGCCGUUGACGACUACAGCAGUGACAAAGAUGACUUGCUCCCUGCUUUCUCCUCUCACUGGCUGUGGCCACAAUGUUACUGCUUGGAAAGUGACUGACCUUCCUCUUUAAUAGGGUCCAUUCCCUCUGGGAGCUUUCCCCUGUGCAAAGAUGCCAAUAAAUCUCUUGUGUAACAUGCAAA